CCGGUAAAGUGGCGAACGGGUGAGUAACGCGUUGGUGAUCUGCCCCGAAGUGGAGAACAACAUUCCGAAAGGGAUGCUAAUACUCCAUGUGAUCAUAAGGGUUAAAGGCCUAAUGAUUAAAGAUUUAUCGCUUCGGGAGGAGCCUGCGUCCCAUCAGCUAGUUGGUAAGGUAAUGGCUUACCAAGGCAACGACGGGUAGGGGGCCUGAGAGGGUGGCCCCCCACAAUGGUACUGAAACACGGACCAU
rnacentral:rRNA from 1 species